rnacentral:rRNA from 1 species
GAUGAACGCUGGCGGCGUGCCUAAUACAUGCAAGUAGAACGCUGAAGGAGGAGCUUGCUCUUCUGGAUGAGUUGCGAACGGGUGAGUAACGCGUAGGUAACCUGCCUGGUAGCGGGGGAUAACUAUUGGAAACGAUAGCUAAUACCGCAUAACAGUAGAUAUUGCAUGAUAUCUGCUUGAAAGGGGCAAUUGCUCCACUACCAGAUGGACCUGCGUUGUAUUAGCUAGUUGGUGAGGUAACGGCUCACCAAGGCGACGAUACAUAGCCGACCUGAGAGGGUGAUCGGCCACACUGGGACUGAGACACGGCCCAGACUCCUACGGGAGGCAGCAGUAGGGAAUCUUCGGCAAUGGACGGAAGUCUGACCGAGCAACGCCGCGUGAGUGAAGAAGGUUUUCGGAUCGUAAAGCUCUGUUGUAAGAGAAGAACGAGUGUGAGAGUGGAAAGUUCACACUGUGACGGUAUCUACCA